UGCCAGCUGUAGAUUUCAACGACAAGACUGACUGUGAAAUUCCAUGCAAUACCAACAAUGAUGUUGCUGAAUAUGUAGCAAUUGAGGAAAACCUUGAAGAACCAGCAGUUGAAGAAAAACAUGAAGAACCAACAGUUGAGGAGAAACCUGAAGAACUAGCAGUUGAAGAGAAACCCGAAAAACCAACAAUUGAGGAGAAACAUGAAGAACCAAUAGUUGAGAAGAAACCUGAAGAACCAGUAGUUGAGGAGAAACCAGAAGAACCACUAAUUGAAGAGGAGAAAUCUGAAAGGGUAACUUUCCUAGAAAAGGUGAGGAUCAAGCAUUGUCAAAAGGUUUAUCCAUCUUAUUAGUUGUGUAUGUGCGACGAUUCACAUCUGCUUACUUAUUGAAAGACUAAGUGAAACUUCAAAAUUCUUGCAGAGUAUGCUAGUUGUAGACUCGAACGACAAGACUGACAGUGAAAUUCCAUGCAAUACCAACAAAGAUGCUGCCCACUUUCCCGAAGUUGAGGCAAACCCUGAAGAACCAGCAGUUGAAGGAAAACCUAAAGAACCCGUUGAUGAAGAGAAACCAGAUGUACCAGUGGUUGAGAAACCUGAAAAACAAAUGGUUGAGGAGAAACUUGAAGAACCAAUGAUUGAGGAGAAAUCUGACGAACUAGUCGAGGAGAAAUCUCAACAACCAGCGGCUGAAAAGAAACCUGAAGAACCAGCAGCUAAAGAAUCACUUAAAGAGCUAGCAGGGGAGGAAACAACUGAAGAACUAGCACUUGAAGAGAAACUUAGAGAACCAACAGUUGAAGAACUAGUUCUUGAAGAUAAACCUGAAAACCCAGAAAAUGAAGAGGAUAAACUUGAAACAGUAACUCUCCAGGAAAAGGUAAGAAACAAGCAGUGUCACAGAGUUUAUCCAUCCUAUUAGCUCUACAUAUGCAAUGAAUUCACAUCUGUUUAUCCACUGAAAGACUAAGUGAAACUUUAAAUUUUUCUUGCAGAAUUUACCAAUUGCAGACUCAAACGACAAGACUGACAAUGCAACUCCCUGCAAUAACAACAAUGAUAUUGCUGACUCUGCAGCAGUUAAGGAAAAAACUGAAGAACCAGUAGUUGAGGAAAAACAUGAAGAACCGGCAACUGAAGAGAAAUCUGAAGAAUCAGAAUUUAUGAAAAAAACUGAAGAACCAGCGGUUGAGGUAAAACCUGAAGAACCAUCAGUGGAAGAGAAGCCUGAAGAACCAGCGGUUAGGAAAAAUCCUGAAGAACCAGCAGUUAAUGAGGAACCUGCAAAAUCAGCAACGGAAGAGAAACCUGAAGAACCAAUUGCUGAGGAGAAACUUGAAGAACCAACUCUUAAAGAGAAACCUGGAAAACCAGUAAUUGAAGAAACACCUGAAGAACCAACACUGGAAGUAACACCUAAAGAACAAGCAGAGAAACCUGAAGAACCAGUUGAAGAGGAAAAAACUGACAAGGUAACUCUUUUGGAAAAGGUGAGCAUCAAACACUGUCACAAAUUUUUGCCAUCAUAUUAGUUCUGUAUGUGCAACAAUUCACAUCUAAUUAUCCAUUGAAAGACUAAGUGAAACUUUAAUUCUUCUUGCAGAAUAUACCAGUUGUAGAUUUCAAUGAUACGACUGACAGUGAAAUUCCAUGCAAUACCAACGACGAUGUUGCUGAAGACGUAGCAGUUGAGGAAAACCUUGAAGAACCAUCAGUUGAGGAGAAACCUGAAGAAUUAGCGGUUGAAGAGAAACCUGAAAAACCAGCAAUUGAGGAGAAACGUGAAGAACCAAUAAUUGAGAAGAAACCUAAAGAACCAGCAGUUGAGGAGAAACCUGAAGAACAAACCGUUGAAGAGAGACUUGAAGAACCAACAAUUGAAGAUGAGAAACUUGAAGAACCAACAAAUGAAGAUGAGAAACUUGAAAGGGUAACUCUCCUAGGAAAGGUGAGGAUCUAGCACUGUCACAAAGUUUGUCCAUCCUAAUAGUUUUAUACGUGCAAGACUUUCAGAUCUGCUUAUUGAAAAACUAAAUGAAACUUUAAAUUCUUCUUACAGAAUAUGCAAGUUGUAGACUCCAUCGACAAGACUGACUGUGAAAUUCCAUGCAACACCAACAAUGAUGUUGCUUACCAUCCAGCAGUUGAGGAAAAUCUAGAAAAAACAGCAAUUGUGGAAACAACUGAUGAACCAGUGGUUGAAGAGAAACCUGAUGUACCAGCGAUUAAGGAGAAACCUGAAGUACCAAAUAUUGAGCAGAAACUUGAAGAGUUAGCAGGAGAGGAAACACAUGAAGAACUAGCAGUUGAAGAGAAACUAGAAGAACCAAUUACUGAAGAGACACCUGCAGAACUAGUUAUAGAAGAGAAACCUGAAAACCCAGCAGUUGAAGAGGAGAAACCUGAAACAGACGCUCUCCAAACGAAGGUCAGGAUUAAACAUUGUCACAAAAUUUAUCCAUCCUAUUAGCUUUAUAUGUGCAAGGAACUCACAUAUGCUAAUCUAUUGAAAGACUAAGUCAAACUUUAAAUUUUUCUUGCAGAAUAUGCCAAUUGUAGACUCAAAGGACAAGAUUGACAUUGAAAGUCCAGGCAAUAUCAACAAUGAUGGUGCUGACUAUCCAGAAGUUGAAGAUAAACCUGAAGAACUAGCAGUUGAAGAAAAACAUGAAGAACAAGCAAUUGAAGAGAAGCCUGAAGAACCAGCAAUUAAGGAAAAAGCUGAUGAACCAGCAGUGCAAGAAAAACUUGAAGAACCAGCUGUGGAAAAGAAACCUGAAGAACCAGUGGCUACGGAGAAACCUGAAGAACCAGCAAUUAAGGAAAAAGCUGAUGAACCAGCAGCGCAGGAGAAACCUGAAGAACCAGCUGUGGGAAAGAAACCUGAAGAACCAGUGGCUACGGAGAAACCUAAAGAACCAGCAAUUAAGGAAAAAGCUGAUGAACCAGCAGUGCAAGAGAAACCUGAAGAACCAGCUGUGGAAAAGAUACCUGAAGAACCAGCAGUCGAGGAGAAAUUUGACGAACCAGCAGUUGGAGAGAAAUCAGAAGAACCAGUAGUUGAACAAACACCUGCAGGACCAGCAUGGGAAGAAACACCUAAAGAACUAGCAUUUGAAGAGAAACCUGAAGAACCAGCAGUUGAAGAAACACCUGAAGAACCAGCAGUUGAAGAAACACCUGAAGAACUAGCAGUUGAAAAGAACCCUGAAAAAACAGCAGUCGGAGAGAAACAUGAAAA
rnacentral:lncRNA from 1 species